CUUAAUAUAAUACAGUAUGGAACUUCAUUUGUAGGUCAGAUGUUUGUAACUUGGGGGUUGCCUGUAGUUCUAUUACAACAGUAAUACAUCAUUAUGGUGCCAUGGGGGCUGCCAAAAAAACCUCCACUGUCUCUUCCCCAGAUGCCACAGAUGCUAGUGGUAUAGUGAACAUGAUUAGACAUGACCUGAUGCAAAUAAACAUUCCAAGAUAAUGUAGGAGCUGACCACUUUGGAAAAGGUUUUUGAAGCUCCGCAGCUGCAGGGGUAACAUGAUUUGGGGCCAGGAACCUUCUACAUUGCACAGUACACUCUGAAGGUCACUCCUUGGGUUGAGCAUCAAAUGAAAUGUCAUAAAACACAUUGGCAGGAGCUUGAAGUCUCAUUCUCCUCAAUUGCACUUACAGAACAAGGCAUGAGCUUAUAGCAAAGAACCAUAUGCUGUACCAGCGUAUGACUUACAGCUCCUGUCAGUCCGAGACUAUGACAAGAGACCACUGAAAGAGAAAGCUUUCUGCCAGUCACAUCCAUAUGCUAUAAAACACUGGAGCAGUGAUCAGACCUUAACAUUCAUAUCAAGACAACUCAAGUAAACGCUUAGUUUAAGAAUCUUUAUUUGCUAUAUUAAAGAACACGAGGGAGCAUUUAAGGGGAAAAAACAUUAAUACUGAUUCUCACAAGGUUAGAGUGCUGGACUAGGACCGGGAAGACCCGAGUUCAAAUCCCCAUUCAGCCAUGAAACUAGCUGGGUGACUCUGGGCCAGUCACUUCUCUCUCAGCCUAACCUACUUCACAGGGUUGUUGUGAAAGAGAAACUCAAGUAUGUAGUACACUGCUCUGGGCUCCUUGGAGGAAGAGUGGGAUAUAAAUGUAACAAUAACAAUAACAAUCACUAAUCAAUAGUACUUGGUUAAAGAGUGAGGGUAUUUCUUUUUAAUGAACUAUUUUAUUACAAAUAUUAAAAAUCUGGUGUAUUAUAUGUGAGUGCUGCUAGUAGUUAGACAUAUGCAAAAGAGGUCAUUGAAUCUACAUGCUUGCCAGUGCUGACCACAUGCCCUACUUGUUGCCUAAUCCUUUUGUCUGACCACUGUUGGAAACAGUAUACUGGUCCCUUGGUCUGAUCCAACAGAGCUCUUCUUAUGCUGCUAUUGUAUAUUUCAUAUAAUAUAUACUUUAUAUUUUGUGGCUGUUUUUGGAAUAGGUGGAUUUAUUUCAUAAGAGGCACCCAAUCAAAAUAUUUUUAAUGAAACCGAUAUUCUAACUCUGUAAAUAGAAAGUAUUCACUCUGAUUAUGUCAAUCAUGAUGCCCUUAUUCCCAUUCCUAUUGUGCAAUUUGUUGCUGAGUGAGAUUUUGCUGGGCUGCCUGUACAUUAGAGUGAUUGAUCUAUGUCAGUCCUAGGUGAAAUGCAAGGACAAACCAGCAUUCUCCUCAAUCAACAAGCACCUCAAGCUGUCAUCCACAGCAGAUGCUCUGGCUAGUGUAGAAGAAAUAUUUGCUUUCACGUUGAUAAAUAGCAAAGCACAGUGCUUCCAAACAUUCUCACUUCUUUCUCUCUAUUUUUGUUCCCCACAGAUUUUCUUGCUGGGCCAUUCCUACUUUUCAGCAAAUUGGGGGAGCUGCUUACAGUGGUGUUUUACAGGGGGUAGAUGCUAGGGCUGUGUGAAGCAGCCCUGAUUUGAUUCAGGGGCACCUUGGUCUUCAGAGGGGCUUCAAAUUCUAUUUUGGCCUGUGGACAGGUGAAGAGAUUCAACUGUUCCAUAGCUCACUUUGCAACACCCCCCCGAUUUAUCCCCCCAGUGUUUUACUUACAGGGAGAAGUCAGGCAUAGAUGCAGUGAUGUGGCUUCUGUUGGGAAAGGGGAGUGGGGUUGUUCCUGCAUCCUGGAAAAGUCUUUUGGGGAAAUGUAGUCUUUUUAGUAGCAGUGGCGAUUCUGUCUCCAAUAGCAACCAGCCAGAUGCCUCCAGGAAGUUCUCAAGCAGGACAUGAAGAGCAGCUAAGUUGGUGACUAGUUGGGAACCUGAUGUAUGCCACAUGAGCUCCAUGAUGAAAGAAAAGUGGGAUAUAAAUGUAAUAAGAUAAAGAACUACAAGGGACAUGUGUGCAAGAAGCAGCACCAGCAAAACUCUUCUAGUAUCAACUCACUGGGAAAGCCCAGUGCAUAAAGCUGGUAGAAAAUGA